rnacentral:rRNA from 1 species
AACGAACGCUGGCGGCGCGCUUAACACAUGCAAGUCGAACGAGAAGGCGUAGCGAAUACGCUUGUACAGUGGCGAACGGGUGAGGAAUACAUGGGUAACCUACCCUCGAGUGGGGGAUAACCCGCCGAAAGGCGGGCUAAUACCGCGUACGCUUCCGAUCUUGCGGGAUUGGAAGGAAAGCUGUCCCUUGGGGAUGGCGCUCAAGGAUGGGCUCAUGUCCUAUCAGCUUGUUGGUAGGGUAACGGCCUACCAAGGCAUCGACGGGUAGCUGGUCUGAGAGGACGAUCAGCC